AAAAUGCGAUAACUAAUGUGAAUUGCAAAUUACGUGAAUCAUCGAGUCUCUGAACGCAAAUUGCACCCUGUGGUAUCCCGCAGGGUAUACCUGUUUGUGUGCCGUCUCCCUCGGGCCUUUGGAAAAGGGUCUCGAACUAGUGGCCUUUGUGUCCACUGUGCGGGCUGCAGUCUCGUAUCGCAGCCUGUUAGCGAAUUCCAGAGCUUUCUCUACCAGAUGCUUUUGCAUCUCUGUGACCUCAUCUGGUAAAGGGCAGCAGGAGCAAGUGUAAAGCUUGUGCUUCAUGUUUCUCCUUUCCCUUCGGGGUGGAGUUACUGAUUUCUCAAGGCUACAAAUCAGGCAGGAUUACCCGCUGAACUUAA
rnacentral:misc_RNA from 1 species